AUGGACCAACUGGUAAUCAAGAAGACAAUCUGGAAUGAUGAGUUCUGGCAGAACCCCUGGGACCAGGGGGGCCUGGCAGUGAUUAUCUUAUUCAUCGCCGCUGUCCUGCUUCUCAUCUUAUUUGCCAUUGUGUUUGGUUUACUCACUUCCACAGAAAACACCCAGUGUGGAAAGCGUGAAGAGGAGUGACCUGACUUCCUGGGGGCUGAGACAGCAGCAGGGCGAGGGCCUUUGCACAUGCUAUUCUCAUUGACUGGGAUGCUCUCCCUUACACCAUACUCCAUGGCCUCGUUAGUCCUUCCUCAUCCUUCAUAUCUCAGUUUGAACCUGACUCCCUCAGAUUUCAGUAUGUCAUUAAUUCACCCCUAACAGUCCUAACAAAAUGAACAGUUCAUUUGGAUGUGAGUCAGAGAUGCCAGCUUCCACUGUGAUUUUUGGAACCUUCCUUCCUGGAGUUUUCUGCCCCCUAGUGCAAUCCGAAGGCCUGGGACACAGCUAUCUUUCAGGACUACCCUCCAAUAUUGUCCUGAACCAAGACUUACUCCUGG